GUAUUCUCGCAUACGUGAUCAUCUUUCUCGCUGUGUGGAGUUGGGGUGUCAAAUAUUCGUCCCUCUGAUUCUUUUCUUGGUGCUUGUGUAUUUUAACGUGUUUUCUUGGUUUCUCGUGAUUUCCACCUCCUACAAUGUUUUGUACUGUACCCUUGAAAGGUUUGUGGAGGUCGCCAAAUGUAAUAUAUGGCAGCUGAGUGUGAAAGAUUUGGCCAACGAGAGCGGCAGGGUGUUUCUUGAAAUUUAGGGUUUUGUGGAGCUUAUACUAAUACAGAAGUUCAUCUUCCUUCGACUGGGUAAUUUUGGGACUUGGGUAUACAAGAUAAUAACAGUAUUAAUCGGACAAAUGUUUCAUCACUAUAACAUCUGUUCCCUUUUGUUCCCAUAUACAUGUACGAGUUCCCAGUGAUUACAUCCAGAUCCAGUAGCUAUUUCCAAAGAGAAGUUGAACAGUAGAGUUAGCACGACAAAAUUGCCAUCGUGAUGCCUUCAUGUUGCAGAAGAACUCGUAUUAUUAUUACUACCAAAGUAGGAAUGUGAGGCACAUUAUGCAUGGAGAGAUUUAUAAAACCAUACUUUCAAAUAAACUUUCGAUGUGAAUCAGCUGAUUGUGUUUGUCAACACAUUUCUUUUUGAACUUUAGAUCCCUAAAAUAUUUGUAAGUCACAUGUUCAAUUGCUUACUUGAACGAUUGUUUAAUGCAUCUGGAACAUAAUUUUCUGUCUUA